UACGGGGGGGGGGUUAGUGUUAUUCAUCGUUACUGGGUGUAAAGCGCGCGUGGACUGUUUAAGAAGUUCUAGUUUAAAAAUAAUCUAAGCGUAACUUAGAAGUUAACUUUUAUACUCUUAUAACUUGAGGUUAAAAAGAAGGAAGCUAUACUUCUCAGAGAAAAUGUGAAAUUUGUCCGAACUGAGGGGGGAUAACCAGCAGGCAAAAAGCGGCUUCCUAUUAUAAUUUCUGACGUUUUAAGGCGCAA
rnacentral:rRNA from 1 species